CAGCAGCCGCGGUAAGACAGAGGAUGCAAGCGUUAUCCGGAAUUACUGGGUGUAAAGGGAGCGUAGACGGUUAAACAAGUCUGAAGUGAAAUGCCGGGGCUCAACCCCGGAGCUGCAUUGGGAACUGUAGAACUGGAGUGUCGGAGGGGUAAGCGGAAUUCCCAGUGUAACGGUGAAAUGCGUAGAUAUUGGGAGGAACACCGGCGGCGAAGGCGGCUUACUGGACGACAACUGACGUUGAGGCUCGAAGGCGUGGGUAGCAAACAGGAUUAGAUACCCCAGUAGUCCCUGUCUCUUAUAU
rnacentral:rRNA from 1 species